UGUAUCCAUUUAGAGAUUUUCCAGAGUAAAAGUCCCUGGAAGUGUACGAUUCAACUUCUUCCCAUGGUCUGGUGUUAAAAAAGUUAACACAAUAAAUUGUAAUAUCGAGUCGCAAUACUUAAUAUUUAAAAAUCGCAAAACAUAUCGUAUUGGCACCCAAGCGUAUGAGGGGUGGAUAUAACAACAAUUUAUUAAUAAAAUGGAGGUGAUGAAAAUGCAAACGAAUUGAAAAAUGGAGCCAUAAAAAUGGAUGGGAAAUGAAAAAUUGUGUUAAAUUAUGAAAUGAUUUGAUCAAUUUAAAGCUGAUUUGACUAGAACAGUCAUGAUAGGAUGAAAGCAGAGCCAUGUUUCAUCAUUUACACCAUCUUGCAUUCAUCAUUCACAACACAAAGUUGACAUUUAACAUUUAAGGAAAGUGGCCUCAAGGGUGGGAGUA